UACGUAGGGUGCGAGCGUUGAUCGGAAUUACUGGGCGUAAAGCGUGCGUAGACGGUUAUGUAAGUCAUAUGUGAAAGCCCCGGGCUCAACCUGGGAAUUGCAUUUGAGACUGUGUAGCUAGGGUGCGGAAGAGGGAAGCGGAAUUUCCGGUGUAGCGGUGAAAUGCGUAGAUAUCGGAAGGAACACCAGUGGCGAAAGCGGCUUCCUGGUCCAGCACCGACGUUCAGGCACGAAAGCGUGGGGAGCAAACAGG
rnacentral:rRNA from 1 species